AACAGGCCUGCAGCAAGACAUACACUCACAUGGUUAUUCAAUCAAUACUAAUUGUGAUGAUUAACAAGCAGAUAACAUAUCACAUUUAUAAUGCCUCAUAACCAUACAAUAUCAACAUGGAAUAACAUUUAACAAUCAUCAACAACAACAUCUAUGCAUUCCACACCAUAACUGAACAAUCACAUACAUGACUAACAGGGCCCGAUUCAUAACUAACCCAAAUAACAGUGAAUUAACAUAAAUUCAUCAAAAAAACUAUCACUUCAUAAGACCAUCUAACCUUCACACCAUAUUCCCUAACCAACCUGAAACAUAAUUGCUAACUAUCAGUCAACCAAUUAAUAGCUAACUAAUUUCUCAACUCAAAACUAAAUUUAGUUCACUAACAAAAACCAAUUCCCAACUGACUUUAAUUACAUCAACUACCUUCAACAACCUAACAAAAUUCAAUUGCAAAAUUCCAACCACCUAAGCAACUGAAUAACCAUUUAUAUAACCUAAUCAUUCAUCAACUGCAUCAACCUAGCGCUCACUCAUAUCCCAUUCACCAUAAAAAACUCUCUGACCCUCUAUCCCCAUUCACCCUUCCAUUUUCUUGAAUUCAUCAUCAUUGAGUAAGCUCUCAAACUCUCUCUUAUUUCCCAUUUUUCUUCACCAAAUUCAUCAUCUCUGCUGAGACUCGAGGAUCAUCACAUUCAUCAUCAAUCUCACAAUCAUUCAUCACUCAACUUCAUAAAUCAACCUCACUCUCAAUUGAUCAAACUCAAUCAUAAUUUGUUCAUCAACUCAUAUCAACAUCAAACAUGACUCGACUUGGAACAAAAUUAAACACCAGAAAAAAUAAGGAGAAGAAGAGGAUCAAUCAAAUGCAGAAACAAAAAGAGUUACGGAGUUAAGAACUUACCGGAAGCCUCGUUGUUGUUAUCAUCUUCUCUGGAGAAGGUAGUGUGUGCAUCCACCAAUGCCUCAUCAAGCUCAUAUAUAAGGUUUGAGACCUUCAGUGCGAGGAGAUCAAUCAAGGAAUGAUUCACAUUAUUUCUAUACAUCAUAUAUGAAUCACCAUGAUCUUAACUUAUCAUUUUUAUCAAGAAAUCAUCAAGAGUUUGAAGCUUGUUUGCCUUGGAAGCCCUAAUUCAUCAGGGUAUCUUGUGUGACUUCCUUAACAAGUUUAUUCAAAAUUUAAUCAAAUAUUUAAAUGGAUACUUCAUAUUACAUCAUCGUAUACAUAUGUUAUCCUCCAUGGGUCUCAAAUAUCAAGAGAACUUCAAGUUUUCAAGUUGGUUCAUGGUGGUUGAUCAGAGAAAUUCAACUAGUCAAAACUGGGGUUCCCUAGACCCUAUCUCCUAAACUUUUAUUCAUAUGAAAAUUAUUACAAGAUAAAAUUUACUCCUUAUUAUAAUCCAAACAACUUUCAUGUUUAUGUCAAGUUCUAGUUUUUCUUGGAAAGUCAUUUUUAUGGUGAAAGAUUAUAGGUCAUUUUGUUUAUGCCCUAGUGAGGAGGUUAACUUCCAAGGACCAUAACUUGCUCAAUUUUUAUGAUAUUAAGUCCAUCCAAGUUUAAUGAUCAAA